rnacentral:rRNA from 1 species
UACAGAGGUCUCAAGCGUUGUUCGGAUUCAUUGGGCGUAAAGGGCGCGUAGGCGGCCCGGCAAGUCGGGUGUGAAAGCUUGGGGCUUAACCCCGAAAGGGCACUCGAAACUGCCCUGCUAGAGGGCCGGAGAGGAGAUCGGAAUUCACGGUGUAGCAGUGAAAUGCGUAGAGCUCGUGAGGAAGACCGGUGGCGAAGGCGGAUCUCUGGACGGCCCCUGACGCUGAGGCGCGAAGGCUAGGGGAGCAAACGGG